UGCCCAUUGGCCCAGUGGUUAAGGCGUCUGACUGUUAUUUCUUCCUUUACAAAUAAGUGGUAGCAGAAAAAUCAGAAGAUCCCUGGUUCGACCCCAGGAUGGGCAG
rnacentral:tRNA from 1 species